rnacentral:rRNA from 1 species
GACGAACGCUGGCGGCGUGCUUAACACAUGCAAGUCGAACGAAGAGCGACGGAAGCUUGCUUCUAUCAAUCUUAGUUGCGAACGGGUGAGUAACGCGUAAUCAACCUGCCCUUCAGAGGGGGACAACAGUUGGAAACGACUGCUAAUACCGCAUACGAUCUAACCUCGGCAUCGAGGAUAGAUGAAAGGUGGCCUCUACAUGUAAGCUAUCACUGAAGGAGGGGAUUGCGUCUGAUUAGCUAGUUGGAGGGGUAACGGCCCACCAAGGCGAUGAUCAGUAGCCGGUCUGAGAGGAUGAACGGCCAAAUUGGGACUGAGACACGGCCCAGACUCCUACGGGAGGCAGCAGUGGGGAAUCUUCCGCAAUGGACGAAAGUCUGACGGAGCAACGCCGCGUGAGUGAUGACGGCCUUCGGGUUGUAAAGCUCUGUUAAUAGGGACGAAAGGCCUUCUUGCGAAUAGUGAGAAGGAUUGACGGUACCGGAAUAGAAAGCCACGGCUAACUACGUG